AUGCCGCGUGCAGGAAGACGGCCUAUGGGUUGUAAACUGCUUUAUUCGGAAUAAACCCUUUUACGUGUAAGAGGUUGAAUGUACCGAAAGAAUAAGGAUCGGCUAACUCCGUGCCAGCAGCCGCGGUAAUACGGAGGAUCCAAGCGUUAUCCGGAUUUAUUGGGUUUAAAGGGUGCGUAGGCGGCUUAUUAAGUCAGGGGUGAAAGACGGUGGCUCAACCAUCGCAGUGCCUUUGAUACUGAUGAGCUUGAAUACACUUGAGGUAGGCGGAAUGUGACAAGUAGCGGUGAAAUGCAUAGAUAUGUCACAGAACACCAAUUGCGAAGGCAGCUUACUAAGGUGCAAUUGACGCUGAGGCACGAAAGCGUGGGGAUCAAACAGGAUUAGAUACCCUGGUAGUCCACGCCCUAAACGAUGAAUACUCGAUGUUAGCGAUAUACAGUUAGCGUCUAAGCGAAAGCGUUAAGUAUUCCACCUGGGGAGUACGCUCGCAAGAGUG
rnacentral:rRNA from 1 species